rnacentral:rRNA from 1 species
GAUGAACGCUAGCGGCAGGCCUAAUACAUGCAAGUCGAACGGAAUAUAGUUUUCGGAUUAUAUUUAGUGGCGCACGGGUGAGUAACACGUACAUAACUUACCCUCAAGAGGGGGAUAGCCUUGGGAAACUGAGCGUAAUACCCCAUAGUAUUAUUGAACGGCAUCGUUUGAUAAUUAAAGCUACGGCGCUUGAGGAUAGAUGUGCGUCUGAUUAGCUAGUUGGUAAGGUAACGGCUUACCAAGGCGACGAUCAGUAGGGGGCGUGAGAGCGUGGCCCCCCCANACGGGUACUGAGACACGGACCCGACUCCUACGGGAGGCAGCAGUAAGGAAUAUUGGUCAAUGCCCGGAAGGGUGAACCAGCCAUGCCGCGUGAAGGAUGACUGCCCUNUGGGUUGUAAACUUCUUUUGGAUGGGACGAAAAAAACGGGNUUUAUCCUGGACUGACGGUACCAUCAGAAUAAGCACCGGCUAACUCCGUGCCAGCAGCCGCGG